UAUGAGCAAGUGAAUGAAAAGUGUGGAGACAGUAGAGAGAGAAAAGAGAAAAGUUGGCUAACAUUGAAGAUAAACAGAGGACUGACAAUAAGGAUCAGAUUUUAAGUUGUUCUCGGAACUGUGAUGCAAUACUGUUAAUAGUUAAUAUGAACAAAUUCUUUCUCUGUGUGUAGUUGAUGGGAUAUCAUAACACGCUUAGUCUCAUUAGCUUGUUGCAAUGACUCUUUGAGUCAUUAUUCUAUGAGGCAGCUGAGCAAGAAUGCAUGAUGACCUAAAAUCUAAAGAAGAAAAAGCAUCACAGGCCAUGUUAUGCCAAGUGUAUCAGCAUUGCAGUGAGCUUUGGGGUUCAAUGGCCCCCUUGUCUGUACUGCGAGGGAAAUUCUGACAUUUGGAAAACAUUCUCUUAGUUUUAUUGUUAAGACUGCAUGGAAUCCGUCCAUUUUCAGAUUAUAUUCUGGGAAAUUCUGCCUUCAGGCUGCCAACCUUAGGUUCCUAUCCUUAUUACCCAAUAGCUUACGUAGGUCAACUAGCACCAGUGAGCUGCUGUGAGGGAAACUUCUUUAUUGGAAAUAAUAUGUAAAAUUAGUGCCCACUACAUAAUCACUUAAGAACCUGGAGAGUGGCACUGCCAUUGUGUUGUUGAAGGAGCUGACAUCUGAAGAGCGUGAAGUGUCUCUGCAAGUACAACAUGGCACUUCCUGGCACCGCUUGCCACGGUCUAUAGUUUCCUCACAUCUGUGGACUUAGAAAUAAACUUUACCCUCUGGGAAAA